AGCAGCCGCGGUAAUUCCAGCUCCAAUAGCGUAUAUUAAAGUUGUUGCAGUUAAAAAGCUCGUAGUUGAAUUUCGGGGUUAGUAGGCUGGUCAUGCCUCCGGUAUGUACUGGUCUUACUGAUUACUCCUUUCUGAAGAACUGUAAUGCCAUUAAUUUGGUGUUGCAGGGAAUCAGGACUGUUACUUUGAAAAAUUAGAGUGUUUAAAGCAGGCUAACGCUUGAAUACAUUAGCAUGGAAUAAUGAAAUAGGACGUUCGAUCCUAUUUUGUUGGUUUCUAGGAUUGACGUAAUGAUUAAUAGGGAUAGUUGGGGGCAUUAGUAUUCAAUUGUCAGAGGUGAAAUUCUUGGAUUUAUUGAAGACUAACUACUGCGAAAGCAUUUGCCAAGGAUGUUUUCAUUAAUCAAGAACGAAAGUUAGGGGAUCGAAGACGAUCAGAUACCGUCGUAGU
rnacentral:rRNA from 1 species